rnacentral:rRNA from 1 species
UACGUAGGGUGCAAGCGUUGUCCGGAAUUAUUGGGCGUAGAGAGCUCGUAGGCGGUCUGUCACGUCGGCUGUGAAAACCCGAGGCUCAACCUCGGGCCUGCAGUCGAUACGGGCAAACUAGAGUACUGCAGGGGAGACUGGAAUUCCUGGUGUAGCGGUGAAAUGCGCAGAUAUCAGGAGGAACACCGGUGGCGAAGGCGGGUCUCUGGGCAGUAACUGACGCUGAGGAGCGAAAGCGUGGGGAGCGAACAGG